CAGGUCUGCCAGCACUGGCUCCGCCCCCUUUGUCUCAUCAUCAAAAUGGCCGAUUUUUAGCCAAUCCAAUGCUUGCCCAUAGGGAAAGCAUUGGAUUUUCUAAAAUCGGCACAGGACGGGGCUAAAUGCCGUUUUGGCCAAUCAGGACCUCCUCAUAGAGAUGCAUUGAAUUGAUGCAUCUCUAUGAGGAAAAUUCAGCGUCUCCAUGCAGAGCGUGGGGACGCUAUAUGGCAGGGCUGCUUACUGUGCAGCUCUGAGCCAGG